ensembl:lncRNA
AUGCUUUUCCUCCCAGCUGCUGCUCUGUGCUGUCUGUGUUCAGCACUGGUUACCAUGGCAGCAGAACAGCUGAUUCAGGAUGAUUUAACAUUGACCAGGAGAGUUGGAGAAAGUGUCUCCUUCAGCUGUGGAGAGAUUAAUAAGUGUGAUGGCAGCUAUGUGUUCUGGUACCAAAAGAAAGAAUAUGAAACAUUCAAAGCUAUUCUUGAUAUUCAUAAAACAAAUGGUAACAUAGAUAACAGUUACAAUCAUCCUCAAAAAGAUGAUUUCUCAGCUCAGAAUAAACAGAACGGCUGUGAGUUGAAGAUCAAAAAAAUUAAACUUGAUCAUUCAGCCACCUACUACUGCUCCUGUGCUAAGUCUGCUCCCCACAGUGAGAAAUGAUCCCUGCAGCCUGAACAAAAACCAACAGAUGAACAGAUGUCAAACAGUGUUUGUGACAGGAAGAGAGCAGUAAACCACAGCCCAGGUUCACAGAUUUCACCUCCAUCUCAGAGUCACAAACAUACUGAGCUCAGGGAGAUUUUUAUUUACUGCUGUCAGAAAUUCAAUUCUAUUUAUUUCUCUUUUGAACAGAUUUUUCAACAUGUUUUAAGAUAGAAACAAGAGGAACAGAUGACAUCAAACUUCCAAAUGUAAACAAAUGUAUCCUCAGUCCCACAAAAACAUUUAUUCAAAGUGAAAGAAAAACAGAUUGUGUCAAACUGAAUCAAAGUCCAUCCCUCAUUCACAGUGUUAAUGUUCUCUUCAUGAAAACUCUUCCAGCAGCACUUGUUGUUUAACACCUUUCAGUACAUUUAACCAGACACUUUCACUUUAGGACAUUUUAAAGACAAAUCUUGGACUGAUGUCAGUUCAGGAUUUUGUCCAUCUAGCAGCGGCUCAUUUUGUUGGACAGAUUUCCAUCAGUUUCCUGUGGAUUUUUAUAAAAGAUGAAUCAGUCAUGGUGCCUCAUCUUUCAAUCACUUGUUUUCUCUCUGAAGUAAAUAAACUGAUUUUGUAUUUGAAUAUGAUGAAUCUGGAAUCACAGGACAAGAUUUCUGCUCUGUGUGUGUGUUUUCUGACCAAUCACACUCGAGCAGCUUUGGCAGAUUAAUUUUCAUCUUCAGCAUUAAUGCUUACAAAAAUUGAGGCUGACUGGACUAAACACACAGAUAUACCAGCAGAAAAAGCGAUUCCAUGUAAAACACUCUAUUAAAUCAGAAUCAGAAUCAGAAUCAUGUUUAUUGGCCAAGUAUAUGUGCAGACAAAUACAAGGAAUUUGGUUCCGGUAGAUGGUGGCUCUCAAGCACAGCAAUGUAAAACACACACACUCACACUCACACACACACAUGUCUAUAUACACAUUACACAUACAUACACAAAGCUGUAUAAACCAACUAUAAAUAACUAAUCUAAACUUAUAUACAUAAAAUACAGAAAUGAAAUGAGGUGGAAUGAAUACUACAGAAUGUACAUAAGGUGCAGUUGCAGUCUGGCAGUGGGAGCAGUGUGACAGGUCAACUGUUUAGAAGGGAGAUGGCGAGGGGAAAGAAACUGUUCCUGUGUCGGGUGGUCCUGGUCUGCAGGCUUCUGUACCAUCUGCCAGAGGGCAGCAGGUCAAAAAGUCUGUGUCCAGGGUGUGAGGGGUCUGUGAUGAUUUUCCCUCCCCGUUUCCUGGUUCUUGAGAGGUACAGAUCCUGGAUGGAGGGCAGGGGGGCGCCGAUGAUCCUUUCUGCUGCCCGUACAGUCCGCUGCAGUCUGCUCCUGUCCUGUUUAGUGGCUGCACCAUACCAGACUGUGAUGGAGGAGCACAGGACAGACUCAAUGACUGCAGUGUAGAACUGGAUUAGCAGCUCCUGUGGAAGACUGUACUUCCCCAGUUGUCUCAGGAAGUACAUCCUCUGCUGGGUCUUUUUGAGGAUCGAGUUGAUGUUGGUCUCCCACUUCAGGUCCUGGGAGAUGGUGGUACCCAGGAACUUGAAGAUCUUCACAGUCGACACAGGGCUGUCUGAUAUGAUGAGGGGGGGCAGAGUUGAGGGAUGUCUCCUGAAGUCCACUGUCAUCUCUACAGUUUUAAGAGUGUUCAGCUCCAGAUUGUGCUGACUGCACCAGAGUACCAGCCGCUCAACUUCCUGCCGGUAUGCAGACUCAUCACCAUCCUGAAUGAGGCCAAUGACGGUCGUGUCAUCUGCAAACUUUAGGAGUUUAACAGCCGAGUUCUUGGAGGUGCAGUCAUUAGUGUAGAGGGAGAACAGUAGUGGUGAGAGGACACAUCCUUGAGGGGCACCAGUACUGAGGGACCGAGUUUCAGAGGUGAUCUCCCCCAGCCUCACUUGUUGCUUUCUGUCUGUCAGGAAGCUGGUGAUCCACUAACAGGUAGCUGGUGACACGCUGAGCUGGGAGAGUUUGGAAGAGAGAAGUUCAGGCACGAUGGAAUUAAAAGCCAAACUAAAGUCCACAAACAGGACCCUGGCAUAAGUUCCCGGGCGGUCGAGGUGUUGCAGGAUGUAAUGCAGCCCCAUAUUCACUGCAUCAUCCACCGACCUGUUUGCCCGGUAGGCAAACUGCAGAGGGUCCAGCUGGUGGCCUGUAAUGUCCUUCAGAUGGGCUAACACCAGUCAUUCAAAGGAUUUCAUGACCACAGACGUCAAGGCGACAGGUCUGUAGUCAUUCAGUCCUGUGAUGGUGGGUUUCUUGGGAACAGGGAUGAUGGUGGAGCGUUUGAAGCAGGAUGGAACUUCACACAGCUCCAGGGAUCUGUUGAAGAUGCGAGUGAAGAUGGGAGCCUCACGGCUCACAUCCUCAGUGUGUAUUCUGAGUUUCAGGGAGGAGGAAAGGGGGGUGGGAGGUGUGAUGGAGGUCGUUGAGUCUGGAAUGGGGAGGGUGGUGGUGAUCGUUGGGUCUGGAUUGGGGAGGGUGGGGGUGGUCGUUGAGACUGGAUUGGCGAGGGUGAGGGUGAAGGGGGGAGGUUGGGGGUGGUCGUUGAGACUGGAUUGGAGAGGGUGAGGGUGAAGGGGGAGAGGUGUGUUGGGGGUCAGUGUCUGAAGCAGUGUCUCUGGGGAGGGGAGGGUGAGGCGUGGGAGUCUGUCCGUCUCAAACCUGCAGUAGAAAGUGUUUAGCUCGUUGGCCAGGUCUUGUUUGCUUCAAUAGUGGGUGGGGGGCGUCUGUAGCUGGUGAUUUCCUGCGGGCCCCUCCACACUGACGCAGGGUCGUUGGCUGAGAGCCGUUCUUCCAGCUUCUGGGAGUAGAUCCUUUUAGCUGCUUUGAUCUCCUUGGUCAGUGUGUUCCUGGCCUGCUUGUACAGGGCCCUGUCACCACUUCUGUAGGCGUCCUCCUUGGCCUUACGAAGAUGUUGGAGUUUAGGAGUGAACCAUGGUUUAUUGUUGUUGUAUGUGCAAAAGGUCUUUGUUGGCACACACACGUCUUCGCAAAAACUGAUGUAUGAUGUCACAGUGUCUGUUAGCUCAUCCAGGUUAUCAGAUGCAGCUUCAAAAACAGUCCAAUCAGUGCAGUCAAAACAGUCCUGCAGUUCCUGCUUUGCUGCGUUAGUCCACUUCUUCACAGUUUUGACUACAGGCUUGGCACGUUUGAGUUGUUG